rnacentral:rRNA from 1 species
UGGGGAAUCUUGCACAAUGGGGGAAACCCUGAUGCAGCGACGCCGCGUGAGUGAUGAAGCCCUUCGGGGUGUAAAGCUCUUUCGACGGGAACGAUAAUGACGGUACCCGGAGAAGAAGCUGCGGCUAACUACGUGCCAGCAGCCGCGGUAAUACGUAGGCAGCAAGCGUUGUUCGGAAUUAUUGGGCGUAAAGCGUCCGUAGGUGGUUGUUCAAGUCUGCUGUUAAAGCGUGCGGCUUAACAGCAUAUC